rfam:Nasonia vitripennis chromosome 1, whole genome shotgun sequence.
GUCAACAGCCAUACUACGCUGAAAUCACCGGUUCUCGUCCGAUCACCGACGUUAAAAGCAGCGUUAGGCGCGGUUAGUACUUGGAUGGGUGACCGCUUGGGAACCCCGCGUGCCGUUGACA